ACGCGGAAAGGUAAGAGGCAGCAAUGCGUUCUUCAUUAAAAAAUGGUAGUGCUUGAAGAGUCCGUGGCAGAUCACACUUUGAAUUCAACCGCGCAGGCAGAGUCGAGCCAAAGGAAAAGCUCCGCAGCGUAACGCUUUCACACUGCGACGGUGCUACGGCGAGCCGAGCCCUGCACAUCCGGUGUGUUAAUCCUCCGUAGGCCUCACUCGCAGCUGCUGGCCUUUACGAUGCAGAUGUUGACCUCUCGCACUGUUCAGCACACAAGACGCACGCGGCAACUACUUUACUGCUGUAUAUUUGUUUAUUCCAAAGCGAAUGUUACAUCUGGUGCCGUUUCCCGGGAGCGAAAGGCCCCUCUUGCCCGUAUAAUGACAACUGGAUGACCCCUGGUAAUGUCUCCAAAUGCCCGGGGGCGUUGUGUGUGUUCCAAAGUGCCCCUGCAUUACCCACAAGAGGCUCUGCUGAGUAUUUUUUACACUUGCCACAUUUACAGGACCCUUUGGAAUAAGCUUCUAUGCCAGGAUGUGUGUGUGUGUGCAAUAACUCCCUGGGGGGCUAAUAGAAGGAGCAGAGACUUUAUGAGAUCGAUAGCGCUAUUUGGCUCACGAUGCAUAUUUGUUUAAAUCAUUUUCAGACUAGUACCUAAACUUGCAAUAACUUACUUGGAAUCAUUUGCGGCACUUUCCACAGCCGGUGGUCCUGUUCCUGCAACACAAGGAGCCCUGAAUGUUACAUGAAAUCAGCAUCAAUUGGCUUUGGCUCGAUCUUCGGCCACCAGUGGCGGCGAAAGCACAAACGCAGCAUGGAACCUGCUAACUGGCUCGCCAGCCAGAGGUGACUUCAGCUCCGCUUGUUUUUUAGUAAUUAUAGAGGGUCGGGUGAGAAAACAUUUUGGCAUUUUGACACUAAAACAUUUAAUUUAAAGACAACGUGGGAAUGACUGCUGUUGGCUGUUUUUUAGACGGUAGUUUUACGCUCCUCCUGAAUGCACUUCCCCGGUGAAUAGAGCUCACUGGCAAUAUUAAGUUUCCCGGGAGCAGUCUGAAUAAGCGGUAAAUAGACUGGCGCUGGGAUCUUUGCUGUGUAACGGUUCACUGUGCUUUAAAAGGGAAAUAUUUUCAUUUAAUUCAAUAUUGGAUUUUUAUUAACGUUUUUUUAUCCAUAUUUUUCCAGCGGUAGUUUUUUCGAAACCAAAUGAGGAGCAACUACAGUGUUGGUCAUCAUUACAGCUAAUGCUGUAUUGGAUUCAGUGCCCCUUUGACUGCGCGUUUGUCCUCGUUCAGGCCGAUAAGCCUCCUGUGAGCAACAUCAGUAGCUGAGACGGUUGCAGAGAUCCGCCUGCCGCGUGUAAUGGAUUUCACGGACGCCGAUCGACCGCUUCGAGGGAAGAAAACGCUCGGUGCUGAAUGCUGCUGUAAUAAAGUUAUAACACUUACUUACACUCAUGCAAGAAACGUGUGAAGGAUGUUUCAGAGGCUGACUUAAUUAAGUAUUAGUUUAGUGUUUUUUACCCUCUUGGUGGCCUGUCUGCUGCAGACUGGUCAAAACGAGUCAUAUUUUUGAAAGGAAAAACCAAUAAGCACAAGGAAAGAACCCGUGAUGAAGCCUCCAUGUGUAAAGUCCCUGAACCAAUGAAAUUGCCUCAAGCGACGCGGCCGUGGCAGAAAAAAAGGUAGAAAUAAAACCAUGUGAUCAGUGCACUUGCUUCAAUUCGAUGGUAAUCUGCAGGAGAGAUGGAAAUGGAAUGAUCAUUACAGUGAUGAAUCCCCCCCCGCGGAGGGCUGCCCGGAGACGAGAUCUGCAACAAUGCAAGAAGAGGGGCCAGCUGGAGGUUCAGGCAUUUGAUCCGGAUUCCUCACGCUGGUUUAUUUGUGCUCAUCCGACUGGUAGAAGGUCUGAGAAUCCACAGGAGAACUUGGACAACUUUCCCGGCCUCCAGGGAUCAUGGCGAAAAUAAAAGAACUUGAUAGAAUCUGUUGUGACGGAGCCCUUUUCAUGAACAUCAGCCCUCAAGAACGUGCGCAGGAUCGUCUCCUGGGCAGUUUCUGUAGAUUCCGUAGACAUGUGCGAUCAUCAGGCCGGGCGGUGUGAGCUUUGUUGAGGAGCAGCGGUUCAUCCGUGUUGGUUGGCCGGAGAGCGAAACGUUUGGCCGGAUGAAUCGAUGGGAGCACAGUUGGCUUCUUUGCCCCGUCGCCAUCCCCGUCCCGAGAGAGAGAGCAGCUGCUCCUCCAACCAGAAGCUCCGGGAAACUUUCCAGCUCGACGAAAGCGUUUGACCGGCAUAUUGUCCAAAGUUUAAACGUUCCUUCCUGAUGAAUUUGAUCAAAGAGGGAAAUCUGGAGAGGAGACCAAAUCUCCUUCUUUAACCACCUGGCUUAGUGUGUGAAUCUGUCGCAAUAUUGUGUCUUGUGUGAGAAACUCUUGACAACAGCAUCAAUUAGCAGUGUUUUCUCCACUGAGUGCUUUCUUAAGAGGCUUAAAUGGUGUUAAAUGAACCGACGUGCUCCACUUUGCUUCUGUUAAAGAACUUUGAUCUAAAUUCAUAUUAGGAAUGAUGCUUCAGCAGUCUACAACGAUAAAAAACAGAAGCAAGUCAGCAUCUUUGCACUUCCCCACGUCUUUGUCUCUGUUUUUAGUUCAGGUCAGUUGUUGAUGCAAGCUGAAGAGAUUUUAACGCUGUGAAAAUGAAUCAAUGGUCUCAAUCACUAGUUUCAAGUCUUCUCCUAUACAGCACGAUGUCCAUUUAGUAGAUGAUGGUACAUUUAGAGUCUAUAAACUUAACCCAAAAGAACAGUAAUCAGUCACCUUUUUCUUUUUUUUAAUAUACUUUCCCGCCUUUUUGUGUUUCCUCACCUUUGCGGUUGACCUUACCGCCCCUUAGCUCACCUGUGUGUGAUCACUUGGCCCUCACGUGUGUCUCCUGUUUCAGUGUGUGUGUGUGGAGAAACAGAACGGAGCCCUUAACCUGUCUUUCCUUUCAGUCGUUACACAUAUUGCUCCAUAGGCGAAGGUACAGGAAGCUGACUGAAACACCGUCACGUUCCGUAUUCAUACAUACUACUAUCUCCAUUUCCCCCGUAUUUCUUAUGAUUGUGAUUUAAUUUGUAUACAACCCACAAUAUAAUAAUGCUGUCUUUGGAAAAUGAUUUAUUGGCAAAGAAAAUCGAAUUUGUCAACUUGACUGAACAAAAUCAUGAUAGAUGAUACAGAAAGUGUUUUGUGUCGUUUCCCUCACUGACUUUAACUGUAUUCAUAAUAAAAGUUACACAUUUUCUCAUAAACUAACCACAUUUAUGGGCGGUUGUGUUACAUACUGUGUAUUCUUUACCACAUUGUGCAUAACUCCAAUACUAAAACCGAUGUUUAUCAUCUUCACACGUUGAGAUUAAUUAUAUCCGUCCAAUCCGCCACAACGUCUGGUGAAUAAUGGAGAUGCCAUCAGAGGGGAAUGUCGGCAGGGAGAAGCCUUCUGUGAGGGAUGCUCAGCAUCCUCCUCCGUCCAGCGGGAGCAAGGAGAUGGCUGAGCGACUUGUGGUCCUGGGAAGAUUGAAUCCUGGUGCAGCAGUAGUUUGUUUUAUGGAAGACUAAAUGACACCUGCUGAUUAAUCAGGGGACUAAAUACACCCUCUUUGCACCCACAUCACCUGCCAUCCAACGGACACAUGUGGAUACACACUAAACACACCUGCACCGUCUACUUACAACGCAGUGCUACGUACAUUUAAAAAUGUAGUAGUAGCCUCACAGAAUACCUCCAAGUAAACAACGGAACGGGUUCUUAAAGCCACCUUUCUGACAAAGAGAUUGGAUUCAUUUAAAACCUUCUUGUGAAAUGUGUCUGGUUGUGUGUUUGUAUUCACAUUUACAUAAUAUGUAUCGAUGACCCUCAGAGCUCUGAAGGUUCCAUCUUGGACGUUCAUGUGUGUCACUUGGAUACAGAUGUUAUGUCACCAUCCAAUCCUGAUCAAACGGGGCGAACCGGCCUGAAAUCCUCCCACAAAAUGGUAAUGGCCUUCCUGAAGCUACAGCUCUGUCACACACACACACACACACACACACACACACACACCGUGACCACUGCUGCAGCAUCCUGUGGCGCACGCACACUGCACUGUGUGGCGCCGUCUGUUCCCAGUUUUCAUGCCACUAUAACGACCCUGUGCAUUCAGCACAUGUUCAGCUGGUUAUCUGUGGAAGAGGACCAGAAGAUCAGGACCAGAAGAUCAGCACCAGAAGAUCAGGACCAGAAGAUCAGCACCGGAAGAUCAGCACCGGAAGAUUAGUACCGGAAGCUCAGGACCAGAAGAUCAGUACCAGAAGCUCAGGACCAGAAGAUCAGGACCAGACGAUCAGGACCGGAAGAUCAGCACCAGAAGAUCAGCACCAGAAGAUCAGCACCAGAAGAUCGGCACCAGAAGAUCGGGACCAGAAGAUCGGGACCAGAAGAUCAGCACCAGAAGCUCAGCACCAGAAGCUCAGGACCAGCGCUGGCUCUCGGGGGAAGAGAGUGUGUCCCUGUAGCCGCGGUGGUUCACUUCUUGCUUGAAUCCAAGGUUACUUUCUUUCUGUGUCGGGAGCUCAAAGGUUCUUCUGAGGAAUCACCAAUGAACCCAAUACCUUUUGUAUGGAUGGACUUAGCGUGGUGAUGAUGUCAGGGCCGCUGCUCACACAUCAUCACACAUCGAGCGUGCAUCAGAGAUCCGUGUGUACGGUCUGACAGAAGGAAUUUCAUAUCAUAUCCACGAAUAGGUUGGUAUUGAUCACCUGAAAUAAAGAUGCUUCUGUAUUUUUGUAAUUUGGUCCCUAAGUGACAUCUGAACUGUUUGGUAUAUUUUAAUAAAUAAUGGGUCUGUUGAGAUCUUUUUUUUGUGUUAACUGAAAUGGAAAUAAAUCUUUUUGCAUUACUUUUUUCUCAGUGAGGACAGUGAAAGAUUCUGCACAAUAGCUGAAAUCUUUUUGCCUAAUUUCACACAUUCCUCCAGUCCCACAUUGCAUUUGUCCGUACACCUAAAAGACUGC
ensembl:lncRNA